GCGCGCGGCAGCAGGGUUGGGCUCUCGCCGUGAGUCGACGAAGGGAGCGCGGGCGCGCGCCCGCGUCCGCGCACUGAGAGUCGCCUCGGCCGCUCGCUUUCUCGACUCCCGCCUCGCGCCUCGAUCCUGUUCCGCCUCCCUCGGCCCUCCUGCCCGCCCCCACUCGUCGGCCCUCAGGUUCCUGGAAAGUGAAAAUUUCAUUUCUUUGUGGACAGGUACCUAAAAUGUCUCAUUAUUCAUCAAUUAAUGAAAAACAAAUGAAAAUUUGAGAGAGAUAUUCUGAAGAAUAAAAGGAUCAAGUUGGGUCAUUUCUAAAAUCUCAGAGACCUAAUAGGAUGGGGUCUUAGAGAAACAUCUUUUGAGCCACAGACUUCUUUGUUACCAGAAGGAAAAUGAAAGAAGAAAUUUAAAUACCACUUGAAGAGAGGUAAAUAAAUGAGAAAUGGGGCUGAGAGGGCGGGUAUUUUUUUAAAAAUUCAUUAAAUGGAAAAAUCCACAAAUGUUAAUUCUGGUAGAUUUCUUAGAAAUUACAUCAGAGGAGCAUGCUUGGUCUUCCCACCCUCAUUAGGCCUCAGUGACAGGUACUUGAACAACUGAGCCCCUAAUGUGCAUGCUCCCCCACCCCUGAAGCCAGUCUCUGCCCUCCUCUUCCCUCCUCUUGCCCCUGGAAGCUGAUCGCCACCAACUGGCCUCUGGGUGGAUUUGGCCAAUGGAAGCACCUGUAGAGGGAAGAGAGUGAGGUUAGGAUAUUUCUUCCUGCUGUCUCCGUGCUUCCCUGCAGAGAGUGUGAAGAAAUGACCCUGAAAAGCCUCUGGCAGAGGAUUCUUCUUUCAGGAUGGUGUCGCCUCCUCAGCAGCCCAUCCUCCUCCCCUGGACUCAAGCUCUCAUUCCAGUAACACUCCUUCCUCCUUCUCCAUCUUCAGGGGGAGGUUUGCCAGUCGGUGGGUUCUAAGCAUAUCUCGCUGAUUCCCCCCAACCCUGCCGACACCUCUGUAGGUCGUCCCUUCAUUAAAAUCUCUCCAUUUGAACUAUCUGAGUUUAAUUCCAUUUCCUCCUGGUAUCUCAGUGAUACACGGUAUCAGUACAAAAAUCUCGCUUCACCUUCAGAACCAACAGAUUUGAGACAUUUUAUCCUCUGUGGAACCAUUAGUUAUUUUGUCAUUGGUUGUAUCAGAAAAAAAAAUCAGGAAUGCAAAUCCUUCUUUAUUACAGAUUCAGAUUUGCAUAUUACCAAUGUUAUAUAUUUUAAACAAAACUAUUCAUCAUAAGUUUUAAAAAUUAACUACUGGAGUAGUUAAUGAAUCUGAAUGUAAUUAUGUAGCUUUCAUAAUAUUAAAGUAAAAAUACUAAAAGAAGUAUUUCUUAAAGAAGCAAAUGCUCAAUCUCCAAGUAAAUUUUAUUCUAUGCUCUUCCGGUAUAAGAAUAUGUUAAUAUCUUGAAAAAUAUCAUAUUAUUUUGUGAACUCAUAAAGCUAUUUUGAGUUUUUGUAAAAUGAAAACCUUACCAAAAUGUAUUUUAUUGUUGGAAAGCUUGACCGUUACUGCUGUUUAAUUUUUUGAGCUUGUAAACUUUAUUUGUGCAUGUUUUCAACAAAGAAGGAUUUUAUUGUUAUUACAUAAAACAGGUGAUUUCUAGAUUUUAAAAUCACAAAUUGAAAGCAAGGCACAAUAAUAUAUAUUUCAAGAUAUAGGUACUUAGGAGGCAUCCUUUUAGUCAUCUGUUCAAUGUAGCCAUCUAUUUUACACCUACUGUCUACUAUUGUUUGAGGUCCUUGCCAAAGUAUUGCAGGCUAGUUAGGAAACAUAAAACAAUUAGAAAGUAAUCUAUGACAAGUAAGCUAUCUAUAAAUGGCAAUGAAGGGUAGAACAAAUUCAAUGAAAAUAUCUAUUUAAUCCUAGUGUUUACUGGUCUAGAAGAAUAGGCUGAGUAAAUUAGUAUUUCUCUGGCUGUUGUGGUAACACAUUGCAUGCUAUAACAGUUUUAAGUAAUUACAGGUGCAUUGAAAUUUAUCUAUGGCUUUGUCAUCAUAUUCUAAAAUGUCAUGAGUACUUUUUUCUGACCUCAAUUACUAUGAAAUUGGUUUCCAAUAUUUAAUUAACCAAGAAUAUCAAGUCUAUAGGGUAUUAUUAAGGUGAGACUUCUGUAGCCUUUUCAAUAAAGACCAGAAUUUUGGAGUGCCUUGAACCUUAAUCAUUGAUCUUUAAUUCUUAUUAAGUCAACUGCCCACCUUUUAAAGACUGAGGCCCAGGAAGAGUAAGUUUCUCUGAGACAAUGCAUACAGUACAGUGCUUCUUGGGUAUUGGCUCUAAGACCAGAUGCAAAGAAAGGCUAAAAUCCCAUUUCAUUGUUCAUUAGGUGAGAACCCUUUGUUAAGCUGUGUAACCUCUGUGCAUAGUUUCCUCAUCAGCAAAGUCAGAAAAAGUAUGUACCUGAAGGACUGAUUGUAAGGCUGGGAUGAGAGAAUCCAUGUGAUCAGCCCUCACCAACAGGUGCUGCCCAGUUCAUGAGUGCUGCUGCUGUCCUGCCCAAGUACCCAGCUUGCAGAGUGCCAGAGUUAGAGUCCCAGGGGUGUUCUCCACAGCUGCAUGCUUGAUCCAGGCCUAUCAGAUAUAUUCCAUUGAAAGUCCUCAUUCUCAAAUUUAAAACAAAGACUUUUUGUGUACCUCAAUAGCAAUGCACACACAGUUGGCUUCACAAACAUAUUGUACAUUUCUUUUUUUCAUAUUUAUUCAACAAAUGUAUAUUGACUACCCACCGUGUGACAGGUGUUAUUUGUUGACGGAACCAGGCAUCAUCAGCAAACAAAACUGACAAAGCUUCCUGCCCUCUGUGGAAGGCAUCUGAGGAAGAGACUGGAUUUUGUAGCAACAUGUUAUUCUCAUUAUAAACUUUAUCAUUGGAAUACUAAAGCCAAAUCAUCCCCCAUCUCCUUGAUCAGGAUACCCACUUAAUCUAGGCAGCUACACAAUUGUGAGAGCCUUUGUUUUUUUCUGCUGAAACAUCCUUAAAAAGAUACCUCACAACCCAAGAUUUGGCUUUUCUUAAAUACGAUUUUUAAUUUUUUUCAUUUCUAUCUAGAGAUUUAAUUGGAAAUGGAAAAUCAUCAAUUUUCCAAUUAAAUGUCUGUUCCAAUCAACAUUAUACCUUUUAGGUUGUCAUUGUCAUUUUUAAGUUUAAGCAACUUUAAGGAUUUUGAAUCUGGCUGCCUGUAAAUUAAAGGUGAAAGUAAUCAUUGUGUUGGAUUGGAACAUUUUGUCAAUUGAGAGUGGUUUCCUUGUUCUUAGUGUAUGAAAAGUUUAUUUUUCUAAUGUAGAUUAAUAAAGGAGAUAAAGAAAAACAAAAUGA
rnacentral:lncRNA from 1 species